CGAGGGCGGAGUACCAACUCUGAUGUAACGACGUUUCUUCUGAGUGGUACAAGCAAAUAAUCAAAACUUUUAACAACGGAUCUCUUGGUUCUGGCAUCGAUGAAGAACGCAGCGAAAUGCGAUAAGUAAUGUGAAUUGCAGAAUUCAGUGAAUCAUCGAAUCUUUGAACGCCACAUUGCGCCCGCCAGCAUUCUGGCGGGCAUGCCUGUUCGAGCGUCAUUUCAACCCUCAAGCUCUGCUUGGUGUUGGGGCCCUACAGCUGAUGUAGGCCCUCAAAGGUAGUGGCGGACCCUCCCGGAGCCUCCUUUGCGUAGUAACUUUACGUCUCGCACUGGGAUCCGGAGGGACUCUUGCCGUAAAACCCCCAAUUCUCCAAAGGUUGACCUCGGAUCAGGUAGGAAUACCCGCUGAACUUAAGCAUAUCAAAGAGGGGAAAGGGAA
rnacentral:rRNA from 1 species